GAUGAACGCUGGCGGCGUGCUUAACACAUGCAAGUCGAACGAAGCAUUUGCGACAGAUUUUUUCGGAAUGAAGUUGCUUAUGACUGAGUGGCGGACGGGUGAGUAACGCGUGGGUAACCUGCCUUGUACUGGGGGAUAGCAGCUGGAAACGGCUGGUAAUACCGCAUAAGCGCACAAUGUUUCAUGACAUGGUGUGAAAAACUCCGGUGGUAUAAGAUGGACCCGCGUCUGAUUAGCUAGUUGGUGAGAUAACAGCCCACCAAGGCGACGAUCAGUAGCCGACCUGAGAGGGUGACCGGCCACAUUGGGACUGAGACACGGCCCAGACUCCUACGGGAGGCAGCAGUGGGGAAUAUUGCACAAUGGAGGAAACUCUGAUGCAGCGACGCCGCGUGAGUGAAGAAGUAAUUCGUUAUGUAAAGCUCUAUCAGCAGGGAAGAUAGUGACGGUACCUGACUAAGAAGCUCCGGCUAAAUACGUG
rnacentral:rRNA from 1 species